GCUGGGGGUGGUGGCACAUGCCUAUAAUCCCAGCGGCUCGGGAGGCUGAGGCAGGAGGAUCACGAGUUCAAAGCCAGCCUCCGCCAAAGUGAGGCCCUGAGCAACUCAGUGAGACCCUGUCUCUA
rnacentral:sRNA from 1 species